GGUUAAGCGACUAAGCGUACACGGUGGAUGCCCUGGCAGUCAGAGGCGAUGAAGGACGUGCUAAUCUGCGAUAAGCGCCGGUAAGGUGAUAUGAACCGUUAUAACCGGCGAUACCCGAAUGGGGAAACCCAGUGUGAUUCGUCACACUAUCAUUAACUGAAUCCAUAGGUUAAUGAGGCGAACCGGGGGAACUGAAACAUCUAAGUACCCCGAGGAAAAGAAAUCAACCGAGAUUCCCCCAGUAGCGGCGAGCGAACGGGGAGGAGCCCAGAGCCUGAAUCAGCAUGUGUGUUAGUGGAAGCGUCUGGAAAGGCGCGCGAUACAGGGUGACAGCCCCGUACACAAAAGCGCAUGUGCUGUGAGCUCGAUGAGUAGGGCGGGACACGUGGUAUCCUGUCUGAAUAUGGGGGGACCAUCCUCCAAGGCUAAAUACUCCUGACUGACCGAUAGUGAACCAGUACCGUGAGGGAAAGGCGAAAAGAACCCCGGCGAGGGGAGUGAAAAAGAACCUGAAACCGUGUACGUACAAGCAGUGGGAGCACAGGUUUACCUGUGUGACUGCGUACCUUUUGUAUAAUGGGUCAGCGACUUAUAUUCUGUAGCAAGGUUAACCGUAUAGGGGAGCCGCAGGGAAACCGAGUCUUAAUUGGGCGUUAAGUUGCAGGGUAUAGACCCGAAACCCGGUGAUCUAGCCAUGGGCAGGUUGAAGGUUGGGUAACACUAACUGGAGGACCGAACCGACUAAUGUUGAAAAAUUAGCGGAUGACCUGUGGCUGGGGGUGAAAGGCCAAUCAAACCGGGAGAUAGCUGGUUCUCCCCGAAAGCUAUUUAGGUAGCGCCUCGUGAAUUCAUCUCCGGGGGUAGAGCACUGUUUCGGCUAGGGGGCCAUCCCGGCUUACCAACCCGAUGCAAACUGCGAAUACCGGAGAAUGUUAUCACGGGAGACACACGGCGGGUGCUAACGUCCGUCGUGAAGAGGGAAACAACCCAGACCGCCAGCUAAGGUCCCAAAGUCAUGGUUAAGUGGGAAACGAUGUGGGAAGGCCCAGACAGCCAGGAUGUUGGCUUAGAAGCAGCCAUCAUUUAAAGAAAGCGUAAUAGCUCACUGGUCGAGUCGGCCUGCGCGGAAGAUGUAACGGGGCUAAACCAUGCACCGAAGCUGCGGCAGCGACACUGUGUGUUGUUGGGUAGGGGAGCGUUCUGUAAGCCUGUGAAGGUGGCCUGUGAGGGUUGCUGGAGGUAUCAGAAGUGCGAAUGCUGACAUAAGUAACGAUAAAGCGGGUGAAAAGCCCGCUCGCCGGAAGACCAAGGGUUCCUGUCCAACGUUAAUCGGGGCAGGGUGAGUCGACCCCUAAGGCGAGGCCGAAAGGCGUAGUCGAUGGGAAACGGGUUAAUAUUCCCGUACUUGGUGUUACUGCGAAGGGGGGACGGAGAAGGCUAUGUUGGCCGGGCGACGGUUGUCCCGGUUUAAGCGUGUAGGUGUGUGUUCCAGGUAAAUCCGGUUCACUUUAACACUGAGGCGUGAUGACGAGGCACUACGGUGCUGAAGCAACAAAUGCCCUGCUUCCAGGAAAAGCCUCUAAGCAUCAGGUAACAUCAAAUCGUACCCCAAACCGACACAGGUGGUCAGGUAGAGAAUACCAAGGCGCUUGAGAGAACUCGGGUGAAGGAACUAGGCAAAAUGGUGCCGUAACUUCGGGAGAAGGCACGCUGACAUGUAGGUGAAGUGAUUUACUCAUGGAGCUGAAGUCAGUCGAAGAUACCAGCUGGCUGCAACUGUUUAUUAAAAACACAGCACUGUGCAAACACGAAAGUGGACGUAUACGGUGUGACGCCUGCCCGGUGCCGGAAGGUUAAUUGAUGGGGUCAGCGCAAGCGAAGCUCCUGAUCGAAGCCCCGGUAAACGGCGGCCGUAACUAUAACGGUCCUAAGGUAGCGAAAUUCCUUGUCGGGUAAGUUCCGACCUGCACGAAUGGCGUAAUGAUGGCCAGGCUGUCUCCACCCGAGACUCAGUGAAAUUGAACUCGCUGUGAAGAUGCAGUGUACCCGCGGCAAGACGGAAAGACCCCGUGAACCUUUACUAUAGCUUGACACUGAACAUUGAGCCUUGAUGUGUAGGAUAGGUGGGAGGCUUUGAAGCGUGGACGCCAGUCUGCGUGGAGCCGGCCUUGAAAUACCACCCUUUAAUGUUUGAUGUUCUAACGUGGACCCGUGAUCCGGGUUGCGGACAGUGUCUGGUGGGUAGUUUGACUGGGGCGGUCUCCUCCUAAAGAGUAACGGAGGAGCACGAAGGUUGGCUAAUCCUGGUCGGACAUCAGGAGGUUAGUGCAAUGGCAUAAGCCAGCUUGACUGCGAGCGUGACGGCGCGAGCAGGUGCGAAAGCAGGUCAUAGUGAUCCGGUGGUUCUGAAUGGAAGGGCCAUCGCUCAACGGAUAAAAGGUACUCCGGGGAUAACAGGCUGAUACCGCCCAAGAGUUCAUAUCGACGGCGGUGUUUGGCACCUCGAUGUCGGCUCAUCACAUCCUGGGGCUGAAGUAGGUCCCAAGGGUAUGGCUGUUCGCCAUUUAAAGUGGUACGCGAGCUGGGUUUAGAACGUCGUGAGACAGUUCGGUCCCUAUCUGCCGUGGGCGCUGGAGAACUGAGGGGGGCUGCUCCUAGUACGAGAGGACCGGAGUGGACGCAUCACUGGUGUUCGGGUUGUCAUGCCAAUGGCACUGCCCGGUAGCUAAAUGCGGAAGAGAUAAGUGCUGAAAGCAUCUAAGCACGAAACUUGCCCCGAGAUGAGUUCUCCCUGAGACUUAAAGUCUCCUGAAGGAACGUUGAAGACGACGACGUUGAUAGGCCGGGUGUGUAAGCGCAGCGAUGCGUUGAGCUAACCGGUACUAAUGAACCGUGAGGCUUAACCUU
rnacentral:rRNA from 1 species